GCCAUCGUCGUAGGUUUCCACAUGACAGUCGACGUUAUCAUACGUCGACGUUUGUAGCGGUUUUCGUUUUGUGUACACACCACUAAGUAGGGAGUGUCGGCGUUCUACAGACCACCUUAGCAUCGUUAGUUCGGCCCGCAGAGCUUGGGUCGAAUCGUUUUGUGGAUCGGCAUGAACGUCGAAGUACUGGCGCUGCUGUUGGUUCUGCUGGAUCCCACGAUGUCAAACUCAACGCCAAGUUGCAACGUGAAAGGACAGAAAGACAUAGAUUGGGACAAGCUGGCAAGCAAGCGAUGGUACGCAGCUCUAGACGCUCUCCAAUAUUCGAAGUACAAGAUAUGUAACGAGAGACUUUUCUUUCCCAAGGACGGCGAAGUUGUUUCAACUAUAAACCCAACUGCACAAGGGACUGAUAGUUGGAACGAAACCUUAAAGGAAGGCAAGCUGGAAUCUGACAGAAUUCGAUUUCCUGAAUGUAAGUGCG